rnacentral:ncRNA from 2 species
GUUUAGGAAGAAACCGACGGUUCCGGAAAAGGCCUUGCCUGAUCCGGAUGAAACGGGAAUCCGGUGCGGUCUUUUUCAAGUCCAGAUCCGGAGCUGCCCCCGCAACUGUGAGCGGUGAGUGGCUGUACGAAAACCACUGGCGUCCUGAUGGGGCCGGGAAGGGGUACAGACCGCGCUGAGCCGCAAGCCAGGAGACCGGCCGUCACAUUGUCAACCCU